rnacentral:rRNA from 1 species
UACGUAGGGGGCAAGCGUUGUUCGGAAUGACUGGGCAUAAAGGGUGCGUAGGCGGUGUAGCAAGUUAGAAGUGAAAUACCUAGAGCUUAACUCAGGUGCUGCUUCUAAAACUGCUAUACUUGAGUGCAGUAGAGGAAAGUGGAAUUCCUAGUGUAGCGGUGGAAUGCGUAGAUAUUAGGAGGAACAUCAGUGGCGAAGGCGACUUUCUGGACUGUAACUGACGCUGAGGCACGAAAGUGUGGGGAGCAAACAGG